GUACGUGAUCAAAUCAUAAAGAAUGUACCCGAUCCUUUCAGAUCUAGAAAGCUAAGCAGAAUUUGGCCUGGAUUAGUGCUUGGAUGGGAGAUCACUAGUUAUCAGGUGUUCUGGACU
rnacentral:rRNA from 1 species